AUAAGGAACACUGAGUGACUCGAGAGGGUUUGUUGGAAAGGCAUUCUCGGAGAAGAAGAAGGGUUAUGUAUGUCUGCCUUGCAAUGGAAGGUGAAGGGUGACAUUUAUAGGAAUUAAUAACCGGUACUAUUCUUUCACUCUUGUCAGCAACCGUUGGAUGAUUUAAUAGUAAACUUCACGUGCUUUCUACUUCACAAGAGAUCUUCGACAGAUUGCCCGUAAUUUUCGCAAGGCUGAGUGUGCAUGUGACAGGCACUGACAUGUCUGGAAAAGCAAGUGCCUCUUCGAUAUCUGGAAUCGGCGCUUCGA
rnacentral:lncRNA from 1 species